CCUACGGGGGGCUGCAGUUAGGAAUUUUGCGCAAUGGGAGAAAUCCUGACGCAGCAACGCCGCGUGGGGGAUGAAGGCCUUCGGGUCGUAAACCCCUUUUAGUUGGGAAAAACACAAUGAUGGUACCAACAGAAAAAGCACCGGCUAACUCUGUGCCAGCAGCCGCGGUAAUACAGAGGGUGCAAGCGUUAUUCGGAAUUACUGGGCGUAAAGCGCGCGUAGGCUGUUCGAUAAGUCUGGUGUGAAAUCCCUGGGCUCAACCCAGGAAGUGCAUU
rnacentral:rRNA from 1 species